CACACGGCGGGUGCUAACGUCCGUCGUGAAGAGGGAAACAACCCAGACCGCCAGCUAAGGUCCCAAAGUCAUGGUUAAGUGGGAAACGAUGUGGGAAGGCCCAGACAGCCAGGAUGUUGGCUUAGAAGCAGCCAUCAUUUAAAGAAAGCGUAAUAGCUCACUGGUCGAGUCGGCCUGCGCGGAAGAUGUAACGGGGCUAAACCAUGCACCGAAGCUGCGGCAGCGACGCUGAUGCGUUGUUGGGUAGGGGAGCGUUCUGUAAGCCUGCGAAGGUGUGCUGUGAGGCAUGCUGGAGGUAUCAGAAGUGCGAAUGCUGACAUAAGUAACGAUAAAGCGGGUGAAAAGCCCGCUCGCCGGAAGACCAAGGGUUCCUGUCCAACGUUAAUCGGGGCAGGGUGAGUCGACCCCUAAGGCGAGGCCGAAAGGCGUAGUCGAUGGGAAACAGGUUAAUAUUCCUGUGCUUGGUGUUACUGCGAAGGGGGGACGGAGAAGGCUAUGUUGGCCGGGCGACGGUUGUCCCGGUUUAAGCGUGUAGGCUGGUUUUCCAGGCAAAUCCGGAAAAUCAAGGCUGAGGCGUGAUGACGAGGCACUACGGUGCUGAAGCAACAAAUGCCCUGCUUCCAGGAAAAGCCUCUAAGCAUCAGGUAACAUCAAAUCGUACCCCAAACCGACACAGGUGGUCAGGUAGAGAAUACCAAGGCGCUUGAGAGAACUCGGGUGAAGGAACUAGGCAAAAUGGUGCCGUAACUUCGGGAGAAGGCACGCUGAUAUGUAGGUGAAGUCCCUCGCGGAUGGAGCUGAAAUCAGUCGAAGAUACCAGCUGGCUGCAACUGUUUAUUAAAAACACAGCACUGUGCAAACACGAAAGUGGACGUAUACGGUGUGACGCCUGCCCGGUGCCGGAAGGUUAAUUGAUGGGGUCAGCGCAAGCGAAGCUCUUGAUCGAAGCCCCGGUAAACGGCGGCCGUAACUAUAACGGUCCUAAGGUAGCGAAAUUCCUUGUCGGGUAAGUUCCGACCUGCACGAAUGGCGUAAUGAUGGCCAGGCUGUCUCCACCCGAGACUCAGUGAAAUUGAACUCGCUGUGAAGAUGCAGUGUACCCGCGGCAAGACGGAAAGACCCCGUGAACCUUUACUAUAGCUUGACACUGAACAUUGAGCCUUGAUGUGUAGGAUAGGUGGGAGGCUUUGAAGUGUGGACGCCAGUCUGCAUGGAGCCGACCUUGAAAUACCACCCUUUAAUGUUUGAUGUUCUAACGUGGACCCGUAAUCCGGGUUGCGGACAGUGUCUGGUGGGUAGUUUGACUGGGGCGGUCUCCUCCUAAAGAGUAACGGAGGAGCACGAAGGUUGGCUAAUCCUGGUCGGACAUCAGGAGGUUAGUGCAAUGGCAUAAGCCAGCUUGACUGCGAGCGUGACGGCGCGAGCAGGUGCGAAAGCAGGUCAUAGUGAUCCGGUGGUUCUGAAUGGAAGGGCCAUCGCUCAACGGAUAAAAGGUACUCCGGGGAUAACAGGCUGAUACCGCCCAAGAGUUCAUAUCGACGGCGGUGUUUGGCACCUCGAUGUCGGCUCAUCACAUCCUGGGGCUGAAGUAGGUCCCAAGGGUAUGGCUGUUCGCCAUUUAAAGUGGUACGCGAGCUGGGUUUAGAACGUCGUGAGACAGUUCGGUCCCUAUCUGCCGUGGGCGCUGGAGAACUGAGGGGGGCUGCUCCUAGUACGAGAGGACCGGAGUGGACGCAUCACUGGUGUUCGGGUUGUCAUGCCAAUGGCACUGCCCGGUAGCUAAAUGCGGAAGAGAUAAGUGCUGAAAGCAUCUAAGCACGAAACUUGCCCCGAGAUGAGUUCUCCCUGACUCCUUGAGAGUCCUGAAGGAACGUUGAAGACGACGACGUUGAUAGGCCGGGUGUGUAAGCGCAGCGAUGCGUUGAGCUAACCGGUACUAAUGAACCGUGAGG
rnacentral:rRNA from 1 species